rnacentral:rRNA from 1 species
AACGAACGCUGGCGGCAGGCUUAACACAUGCAAGUCGAGCGCCCCGCAAGGGGAGCGGCAGACGGGUGAGUAACGCGUGGGCAUCUACCCAUCUCUACGGAAUAACGCAUGGAAACGUGUGCUAAUACCGUAUACGUCCCUCGGGAGAAAGAUUUAUCGGAGAUGGAUGAGCACGCGUUGGGUUAGCUAGUUGGUGGGGUAAAGGCCUACCAAGGCGACGAUCCAUAGCUGGUCUGAGAGGAUGAUCAGCCACACUGGGACUGAGACACGGUCCAGACUCCUACGGGAGGCAGCAGUGGGGAAUAUUGGACAAUGGGCGCAAGCCUGAUCCAGCCAUUCCGCGGGAGUGAGGAAGGCCCUAGGGUUGUAAAGCUCUUUCACCGGUGAAGAUAAUGACGGUAACCGGAGAAGAAGCCCCGGCUAACUUCGUGCCAGCCGCCGCCGUAACAC